GAUGAACGCUGGCGGCGUGCCUAAUACAUGCAAGUCGAGCGAACGGACGAGAAGCUUGCUUCUCUGAUGUUAGCGGCGGACGGGUGAGUAACACGUGGAUAACCUACCUAUAAGACUGGGAUAACUUCGGGAAACCGGAGCUAAUACCGGAUGAUAUUUUGAACCGCAUGGUUCAAAAGUGAAAGACGGUCUUGCUGUCACUUAUAGAUGGAUCCGCGCUGCAUUAGCUAGUUGGUAAGGUAACGGCUUACCAAGGCAACGAUGCAUAGCCGACCUGAGAGGGUGAUCGGCCACACUGGAACUGAGACACGGUCCAGACUCCUACGGGAGGCAGCAGUAGGGAAUCUUCCGCAAUGGGCGAAAGCCUGACGGAGCAACGCCGCGUGAGUGAUGAAGGUCUUCGGAUCGUAAAACUCUGUUAUUAGGGAAGAACAUAUGUGUAAGUAACUGUGCACAUCUUGACGGUACCUAAUCAGAAAGCCACGGCUAACUACGUGCCAGCAGCCGCGGUAAUACGUAGGAGGCAAGCGUUAUCCGGAAUUAUUGGGCGUAAAGCGCGCGUAGGCGGUUUUUUAAGUCUGAUGUGAAAGCCCACGGCUCAACCGUGGAGGGUCAUUGGAAACUGGAAAACUUGAGUGCAGAAGAGGAAAGUGGAAUUCCAUGUGUAGCGGUGAAAUGCGCAGAGAUAUGGAGGAACACCAGUGGCGAAGGCGACUUUCUGGUCUGUAACUGACGCUGAUGUGCGAAGGCGUGGGGAUCAAACAGGAUUAGAUACCCUGGUAGUCCACGCCGUAAACGAUGAGUGCUAAGUGUUAGGGGGUUUCCGCCCCUUAGUGCUGCAGCUAACGCAUUAAGCACUCCGCCUGGGGAGUACGACCGCAAGGUUGAAACUCAAAGGAAUUGACGGGGACCCGCACAAGCGGUGGAGCAUGUGGUUUAAUUCGAAGCAACGCGAAGAACCUUACCAAAUCUUGACAUCCUUUGACAACUCUAGAGAUAGAGCCUUCCCCUUCGGGGGACAAAGUGACAGGUGGUGCAUGGUUGUCGUCAGCUCGUGUCGUGAGAUGUUGGGUUAAGUCCCGCAACGAGCGCAACCCUUAAGCUUAGUUGCCAUCAUUAAGUUGGGCACUCUAAGUUGACUGCCGGUGACAAACCGGAGGAAGGUGGGGAUGACGUCAAAUCAUCAUGCCCCUUAUGAUUUGGGCUACACACGUGCUACAAUGGACAAUACAAAGGGCAGCGAAACCGCGAGGUCAAGCAAAUCCCAUAAAGUUGUUCUCAGUUCGGAUUGUAGUCUGCAACUCGACUACAUGAAGCUGGAAUCGCUAGUAAUCGUAGAUCAGCAUGCUACGGUGAAUACGUUCCCGGGUCU
rnacentral:rRNA from 1 species